rnacentral:lncRNA from 1 species
UUUGUUUUUUUUGCAGGAAAAAUACAAUUUUGAGACAUGGACAUAGUCUUUUAUGAUAAAACUUUGGCCAUUCUUUCCUAUACCAGCAUUCUUCUAAAAUAAGAUAACAAAUGUAUUUCAGCACAAAUGUAAUGAAAAUUUUCACAAUAUCGGUGGUGAUGCUUACGAUGACUUAUUGGUUAGGGUAGUAUGCUAAAAAGGGCCCAUCAGAUUUACAAAACAUAUGGUCUCAUUUUUGUGAGGUUUUCUGAUAUAUUUUCGAUAAUAUUGUGCCUUAAUAUGCAAUAGCUAUAGUCAAGAGUUCCAAGAAAUGGUACACUAACAUUGUAUUUCCAGCUUCUCGCAAAAAUACAUUGUAUUUCUUGCUACUCCAUCCAAGAAUAAUCACUUAUAGACUAGUUGCUUAAUCUAAGAAAAAUAGACAAUCGAAUGGUCGUGAGAUUUUUUAUUGAGUAACAAGGAACUAAAAUAUACGAGGACUUCACUUCUUUUAUGUGGGUGUGGAACUUCCAAGCCUUUUCUCUCUUACAAAUAAGAACUUGAGCGGCUCAUUUUAGUAAAGAAUUAUAUCCAAAAAGAUGUAGAUCUAUUUGUAUUUUUUAUUCUAGUUAAUAAAUUGUUGUAUUUUCAUUGUUUGUAUACUGCAUAGAUCGGUUAAUAACAUGGUGUGUGUUUUCUCUGCCACAUCAUAGUUUUUCUCACACGUCAUGCCACGUCAAAGUACAUGCACUAUUUGUGAUUACAAAUCAAAUCCACGAAUAUAUCGAUCGAGAAACACUACCGAGGAUCACAAGCAAUGACUAAGAUAACAACAAGGCUAUGAAACCACCAGACAUAUGAACAAAAGAUUGAGUUGAAAUUUAAGAACCACAAAAUGAUUCUCUUUAUUAGUAAAGCAAAUGUUGAGCAACGGGAGCUCACAUAUGCAUAUAUGCAUGCCACACAUCCACGGACGGAGCAUGCUUAUUCAUUCAUGGGCGACGGAUCUAUCUAUCUUUAUAUGUCCAAACCGAGGCAGUAUGGGGCGUUGUGAACGGUCAUCACGUUGCAGUGCCCCGGCGUAACGAGCACCUUGGCGAAGUCCCUCUGGGGCUCCCUGGGGCAUCCGGGGAGGUCCUUGAGCACGCUGGAAUUGGGAUCAGACCUCCGCCCUAUGAAGUAGCGCACUGCCUCGCACCGGCAAUGCUGCGAGGCGUCGUAAAGCUCCUUGCAGCACCGAUCCCUUGGGGUGUUCCCCGGCUCGGUGGACACCGCCGACCCGGAUAUGCUGAUGCCACAGGUUUGCUG